rnacentral:rRNA from 1 species
AAUGAACGCUGGCGGCGUGCUUAACACAUGCAAGUCGAACGAGAAAGUACCUUCGGGUGCGAGUAGAGUGGCGCACGGGUGAGUAACACGUAGGUAAUCUGCCUUUUGGUGGGGGAUAACCAGGAGAAAUCCUGGCUAAUACCGCAUAAGUUGGUAACAAGAAAGGAUGCUCCGGCAUUCGCCGAAAGAUGAGCCUGCGGGACAUUAGCUUGAUGGUGGGGUAACGGCCUACCAUGGCGACGAUGUCUAGCUGGUCUGAGAGGAUGAUCAGCCACACUGGAACUGAGACACGGUCCAGACUCCUACGGGAGGCAGCAGUGGGGAAUAUUGCGCAAUGGGGGAAACCCUGACGCAGCAACGCCGCGUGAGUGAGGAAGGCCCUCGGGUCGUAAAGCUCUGUCAGAUGGGAAGAAACUACAUUGGUCUAAUAGGCCUUUGUACUGACGGUACCAUCAAAGGAAGCACCGGCUAACUUCG